rnacentral:rRNA from 1 species
AUCUUGCACAAUGGGCGACAGCCUGAUGCAGCAAUGCCGCGUGAGGGAAGACGGCCUUCGGGUUGUAAACCUCUUUCAGUUGGGAUGAAGGUUGGACGGUGAAUAGCAGCGCCAACUGACCGUACCUUCAGAAGAAGCUCCGGCUAACUACGUGCCAGCAGCCGCGGUAAUACGUAGGGGGCGAGCGUUGUCCGGAAUCAUUGGGCGUAAAGCGCGUGUAGGCGGUUUCGUAAGUCUGCUGUGAAAGUCGGAGGCUCAACCUUCGAAAGCCAGUGGAUACGGCGAGACUUGAGUACGGAAGAGGAGAGUGGAAUUCCUGGUGUAGCGGUGGAAUGCGCAGAUAUCAGGAGGAACACCAACGGCGAAGGCAGCCCUCUGGGACGUUACUGACGCUGAGACGCGAAAGCGUGGGGAGCAAAC